rnacentral:rRNA from 1 species
GACGAACGCUGGCGGCGUGCUUAACACAUGCAAGUCGAACGGAAAGGCCCUGCUUUUGUGGGGUGCUCGAUUGGCGAACGGGUGAGUAACACGUGAGUAACCUGCCCUUGACUUUGGGAUAACUUCAGGAAACUGGGGCUAAUACCGGAUAGGAGCUCUUGCUGCAUGGUGGGGGUUGGAAAGUUUCGGCGGUUGGGGAUGGACUCGCGGCUUAUGAGCUUGUUGGUGAGGUAGUGGCUUACCAAGGCUUUGACGGGUAGCCGGCCUGGGAGGGUGACCGGCCACAUUGGGACUGAGAUACGGCCCAGACUCCUACGGGAGGCAGCAGUGGGGAAUAUUGCACAAUGGGCGGAAGCCUGAUGCAGCAACGCCGCGUGCGGGAUGACGGCCUUCGGGUUGUAAACCGCUUUCGCCUGUGACGAAGCGUGAGUGACGGUAAUGGGUAAAGAAGCACCGGCUAACUACGUG